CAUUUUUUUAUUAAUACCCCCCCCUAAGGUGGUGGACCCCCCUCCGAGCCUGUGUCAUUUGGCCACUAGGCAAUGUGGUGUUCAGGUUCUUUCCGCGAAGGUACUGCUCCACCCUAAGUCCAUCAAUGAGUACGGUAGUACGGACAUGGCCCACAGAGGGUGAAAAGCCCCGUGUGGGUGGAGAUCAGACAGGCCAGUGCCUUUCUGGAUAGACCUUGGAGUCGGGUUGUUUGGGAAUGCAGCCCAAAGUGGGUGGUAAACUCCAUCCAAGGCUAAAUACAAGCACGAGUCCGAUAGCAAACAAGUACCGUGAGGGAAAGUUGAAAAGUACUUUGAAGAGAGAGUAAACAGUGCGUGAAACCGAUCAGAGGUAAACGGGUGGAGUUGAACUGCAAGCUCUGAGGAUUCAACUGAUGAGUGUGUCUUGAGCUAUGGAUGUUGGGCCCUGGAGUCUGCUUAGCUGCAGGUCUUCACUCUUCGGAGUGGGGGUGCGCGAGGCACUUAUCAAGUGUUGUGCGCUCUGGGUGUUCAUCAAACCACUUGUCAGUGCACUUUCUCAGAGUAGUCACCACGACCGGCAUUGCUGUCCGACUGUUAUGGUUAAACCGGUUUCGCAUUGUCCUUGUGGCUUUGCUUGAUCGGGAAGGCAGGUGGCUCAUGACUUGCUUGUGGGAUUCCUGCAAGCAUUGGGUCAUUGAGUGUAAUCAGCUGACCAUAUUGGUUCUGUGCAGUGUGUCGGAGACGGCGGCUUCUGUGUGUGCGUGCGUGCCAGUUUGGCUGACACGUGUCCCAAGUUCCGUGAAAAAUGUUUGCCCUGUUUUGGUGCCAGGGCCUUGAUUUAUUGUCCUCGGGGUCCCGUUCAGGUUGGACGGUUGCCUUGCCGUAGAACACUUACCUCCAUGGGGCCCAAUAAGUCUGUUGGUGGAAGUGGGUAAGAAUUAUUCCCCCCUUGAACCCCGGCCUUGGAAAAAACCGGACCCAAGGGGGGGUAUUAAAAGAGGUGCCCCGAAGUCAAUUUGGGCCGUAAACCGAAAACCCCAAAAGCCGAAAAUUGGAAAAGUAAAAAGGGUCUUGGCUUUUGCCCAGGGCCUUGAGGGGGGAGAAACCCCUGUUCCGCUUUCACAAACGGUUUGGGGGGUCCACCCAAAGGUUUUCUAUUUCGGGCAAGGGGGGCAUUUCAACCCGGGCCCCGGUCCCCAAUGGAAAAAAUUUGCCCUUUCCGGGGGCAAUUUACCCCCCAUUCCGGAAGGCCGGGAAGAAUUUAAGCCGGUACCAUUUGUGUUGGAACCCCCCCCCAAAAAAAGGGGGGGGGGAGCCAUUAUUUAAAACCAAGGAUUACCCCCCCCCUUUUUUUUUUGGGGGCGGUGGACUGGUG
rnacentral:rRNA from 1 species